rnacentral:rRNA from 1 species
UUAAAUUGAAGAGUUUGAUCAUGGCUCAGAUUGAACGCUGGCGGCAGGCCUAACACAUGCAAGUCGAACGGUAACAGGAAGCAGCUUGCUGCUUUGCUGACGAGUGGCGGACGGGUGAGUAAUGUCUGGGAAACUGCCUGAUGGAGGGGGAUAACUACUGGAAACGGUAGCUAAUACCGCAUAACGUCGCAAGACCAAAGAGGGGGACCUUCGGGCCUCUUGCCAUCGGAUGUGCCCAGAUGGGAUUAGCUAGUAGGUGGGGUAACGGCUCACCUAGGCGACGAUCCCUAGCUGGUCUGAGAGGAUGACCAGCCACACUGGAACUGAGACACGGUCCAGACUCCUACGGGAGGCAGCAGUGGGG